CAUAAAUACAAAUACAAUUAUUGCAAAUAAUCACAUACAUACAUGCAUAUAUUUUUUUUAAUCCAUAAACAUGCAAAUACACAUACUUCACUUCCUCCAUAGAGAAAAAUACUUUUAAAACCUUAAAACAUUUCUGUGCUUUUGCAGAGAAAAAGAAGACAGGUUCAGGAAAUGACUGGAGCCCGAUUCAAACUAAAUUCGUCCACAUAAGCACCACCAUGCAGAGCAUGUCAGAGCAUAGGCACUAACCACCAGGCCACGUCUCCAACUAAACAGCAGUUUUAAGUCUCUACCAGCAACAAAAGUUCUGCACCCAGCACCCAACAUUCUCACACACUCACCUUCCUCUUGACAAACUGGAAGGCAGAGCACUUCUUAAAGGAGAAAGACUGUUUCUCUGCAUUAUGGACCAGCCUCAUGGCCUCUGGCCGGCCCGCGCACUCUGCGGACCCCAGCGUGAUGCCUGACAGAUGGACAAAAAGUGUAGGACACAGCGUCUUCUCGACAUGAUGUUAACCACACAAACAAGCUACUGUGUUGGAGGCCAGGUCAAGCUGUUCGCAGCCGGCCAACGUAGAACAGGCGAGCAUUAAGCAAAUGUGUUACCUCCUGACGUGACGGCACCGAAGUGGGAUUCAAAUUACUGAUAACUUGUUUUGGCUGUUCAGAGUUGUUGUUUUUUUAGGAUACAAUAACUUUAUUUAUCGUGCACUUUACAACUUUGCAGAGCAUUUUAUUGCUACAUUACACACUGCAUGAAAGGCAUUAAAAAUGGCAUAAUAGGGGCACUUUAAAAUAACAGUAAUAACAAUAUUUCCUUCAGAAAUCACUCUAAUACAUUGAGUUAGUGCUCAAGUUUUUUUUUUUUUUUUUUUUUAUCAGCGUUGAAAACAUUUGUGCUGCUGGAUAUUUUGUGGAAACAUUUAUUUUUUUGCUACAUUUUUUUUUGAUGAAUAGAAAGAUCAAAAGAACAUAAUUUAUUAAAAAUAGAAAUCUUUUGUAACAUUACACAUUUCUUUAGUGUCACUUUUGAUAAAAUUAUUACAUCACUGCUGAAUAAAAUUAUACAUUUUUGUCA
ensembl:lncRNA